rnacentral:tRNA from 1 species
GGGGCGCUGGCUCAGCAGAUCGGGGCAGGGGACUCAUGAUCCCUGGGUCGUGGGUUCGAACCCCACACGCCCCACCA